ACUCAUGGUCAUACUCAUUCAUUCGUGCUGUCCUGCGUCAUCCACAACCAUCAUCCUAGUCUGACAGGGAACACCCUUGAGGAUUAAUUAGAUCUAGGUGUUGGUUAUGAUGGACACAGAGAUUUGUAUAGAGUUAGACACAGAGGAGGGACUCUUGACCCUUCAGUCCAGUUUCACUCAAAGCUCAGGAGCAGUAGAGCUACUUACCUGCUGCUGACCAGAGGGGCUUCAGUCCUCCCUGUCAGGCCAGCCUCACACAGCAGAGACAGACAGCAUGGUUCACCCCAUCAUGGUUGGCAUUGUCACUGCCAACACCUCCCUAGCUAUCGUCCUCUGGAACUUCCUGUUGUCUCAAGUUUUCUGCAGGAAGAUCAAGGAUGCACCCAACCCUGAGGAGGUCGUCCCAGUCUGAACUGGGUCCUAGGCCCACACCCAGAUGAAGAGGAAGGUGCCUGUGAGCCUACAGGAGUGGAGAAGGAGGAGAGGUGGAAGACUGCCGUCGAGGCAAAGAGGUGGAUGACCAUCAAAAUAGAAGAGGAGAUGAAGGGGGUCCUUCCAUUAGUCAAGUCUCCCAGCAUGUAAAAAACAAAGAAUCAACUUCUCUCCAGAAAACAGAUUCCCAUCUCUAUUAGGCUAAAUGUUAUUCUGACCCCAAUUGACUAAGUUCCCUUGAUAGCAAUACACAGUCCACUCUAUCCUGCUCUCCGCUCUGUCCUCAUUUCCUCCCAGGUUGGCUCCCAAGCAGCCAAAUCCCAUUUCUGUUACUUCUAAACUAAUCCCGUUUUGAUACAAAUGAAAGGAAUCUGCAACCCCAAUCUAUUUACAGCAUCAGAGGCAUAGGAUAAACUAAGUUACUGUAUAUACAAACAAUGUAACUGUUUUACCAUUUUCGGGUACUGUAUGGGAUAACAAAUGUAGACAGUUUGAACAAUCCAAUGGUGCAGAAACAUUCAUUUGUGGCAGUGCUCCCUGAAAGGUUCCAUUUCCUUUUGACCCCCGUAGAAAUAACAGUUAGAUCUUUACUAUGAGAUGUCAGCUCACAUUAAUACCAUGGGACUGAGCAGCACCUGGACAAACACACACAGCACUCAUCACUUUUGCUAUAGUGUUGAGCUUUAUGUGUUGCUGUAACGCUGUAGACGUCAAUACAUCUGUUUGCUUGUGGAUAAGGUGGCCAAAGAGGAUGACCCUUGUUCCAAUAAAGGAAAGACUGGACCUGUC